rnacentral:rRNA from 1 species
UGCCUUACACAUUCAAGUCGAACGGCAGCAUCACAAGGGUAACUGAGUGGAUGGCGAGUGGCGAACGGGUGAGUAAAAUAUCGGAAAGUACCGUAUAGUGGGGGACAACUCGUGGAAAGAUGAGCUAAUACCGCAUACGCUCUAAGGAGGAAAGUGGGGGACCUUCGGGCCUCACGCUAUAUGAGCGGCCGAUAACUGAUUAGCUAGUUGGGGAGGUAAAGGCUCACCAAGGCGACCAUUAGUAGCUGGUUUGAGAGGACGACCAGCCACACUGGAACUGAGACACGGUCCAGACUCCUACGGGAGGCAGCAGUGGGGAAUUUUGGACAAUGGGCGCAAGCCUGAUCCAGCCAUUCCGCGUGAGUGAAGAAGGCCUUCGGGUUGUAAAGCUC